CAAGCCCUGGUUGACCAAUUUGCAAUUAAAUAUAUGUGUAUAGGGGUCUAUAAUCUUGCAAAACAGGUAACCCAACAAUGUUUAACCUGUCAAAGAAUAAAUAAACAACAAUUAAGAGAAAUACCAAUGGGCAGAAGGGAACUGGUACAACGACCCUUUUCACAUAUACAAAUAGAUUUUACAGAAUUACCAAAAGUGGGGAGGUAUAAAUAUUUAUUGGUACUGGUAGACCACUUAACCCAUUACGUGGAAGCUUAUCCUACGGCCCGAGCUACUUCGAACACUGUGGUAAAAGUAUUAUUAGAGCAAAUUAUCCCCCGGUAUGGAUUAAUUGAGUGUUUAGACUCAGACCGGGGACCCCAUUUCACCUCUAAAAUUGCAAAAGAUGUCCUGACAGAUUUGGGAACUCAAUGGAAAUAUCACACCCCAUAGCAUCCACAGAGCUCGGGAGGGUGGAAAGGAUGAAUGGAGAAAAAAAAAAAAAACAAAAAAAACAAAAAAAAAAAAAAAACCAAAACAAAAAAAAAACACACACAAAAAAAAAAAAAAAAAAAAAAAAAAAAAACCUCACAAAGUUAAUGCUGGAAACAAAAAUGUCAUGGGUUAAGUGUCUACCUCUUGCCUUAUUGAACAUUCGAACUCAACCCCAAACUAAUGUGGGAAUCUCUCCAUUUGAAAUGUUAUUUAGAAUGCCCAAAGAUCACCCCUGCCUAAAAGAUUCUCAUAUUAAAUUUUACAUCACCCAAAUUAUGAGCAGAAGGCAGGAAUUGAGGAAGAAAGAAGUGUUGGCACAGAGACCACCAAUCCAUAAGAUAAAACCAGGAGAUCAAGUAUCACAGAAACGGCAGUCAAGACGGCCGAAAAGGGGUGGACUCACGCCAGCCGAGUGAAAGGCCCGGUUGCCACAAAUAACCAGUGGAGAGUGACUAGCCAGCCUGGGAACUUGAAAGUGACUCUUAAGAAAAACUAAUGAACUCUGUGGACAUCAUCCAAAUCAACCAUAAGGGGAAGCAAAGGGAUACAAUUACAAACUAGCUAAAGACUAUAUAGUGAUUUGUAACAAGGAAGGUUGUGGAGAUUGUUAUCCUUUUGUGUGCUUUAUAUGUAAAAUUUGCCAAGAACGGUGGUGGGUCCAUUGCCAGAGGGGAAGACCACCAAUUGGGGUUUGUACUGAGUGCUAUAAAACUCAGCGAAAACUAACUGAAACUGUGCUAAGGAUAGGAGAAUUGGAAAAUCGGUGGGUCAGUUUUGGAUCUGAGUGGUGGGAAAUAUUUACCAAGGGAGUAUAGCCUGAGUAUUUUUGUUUUCAUACUAACGAGCCCACUCCAUUUGCUGCUCAGAUAAUAAAAGGGUGUUGUCGAAAGGAACUGAAGGGGAUUCCUUGCAACCCACUUCUGGUCAAAGAUAAGAACUGGGAACAGUACAAGGCUAGGCAGGAGCGGAAAAGGGGACGCUCAGGCGAGUACUGCUGCUGCCGAGAAGAUGGUUUACCUCGCGGCUCGAAGCACCCGAGUCGGCGAGCGAGGCAGAGAGGAAAAGGCCAAGCCCCCUCUAAGUGGAACAAUGCUGAAAUGCUCCAACUAUUGCCAGCCGAGUACUAGGAUCCCUCAAAGGACCAGUCUAAGUGCCUCCGAAACACCAAGGGAGCAGCAAGCCAAAAAGGGGAAAACAGGAUAUUACAAAACAAAAUCAAGGCUAGGACUCCACCCUUAUUGGCGAAUUAUUAGUUUUCUAUUGCUCUGUCCUAGUGGUGUUUCUAGUCAGGACAAUGCUAAACACUUUACUUCUAGCCUACGAAACAGCAAAGCGAUUUGAUGAACGAAAUGGUAAAAGAGAAAAUGGGGGAUUGUGAUAAACUGUGGUAACUUGUUUGUUCAUCAAAGGAAUUGGAAUAUUAAAGGAGGAAAAAUAAAAUUAAAGUAUGAGGGACUAGCUUGCUUGUUAGGAGAUAGGGGAAGCAUCUGUGAAGUUGGGAAACAGCAACUUGUGGGUUUUACUAAAAAAAGGACAAUAAAGAAGCAACUGCUACAAACCGCAAGGCUAUAGGCAUAUUGCAAGGCUAUAGACAUAUUGCAAAACGCAAGACCGCAAGUAUGAUUAAUCACCAUUUAGGGAGCUUUUCUUAGCUUCUCUUGCAGACACAGGCUAAGGAUGUUGGGGGAUGGCCGGAGCUGAUUAUGAAAUCAGCGACCACCAGGCAACGGCCACCGGACUAGACAACGUAGGAGUGCUCCGGGUACGCCCAUCACUGUCCGGAACCGAUUGUGAAACCAACGAUCACCUGCCUCGACACAACGCAGACACGAUGCAGAGGGAUGCUCAAGCUACGCCCACCGCUAUCGCAAGAGACGCGAAUGAAGAAACCUCCAAGAAACUAUAAAAGAGACUGAAUAAGGGGGGUGGGGUGUGGGGCACUGCAGUGUGGGACACUGCAGGAGGGGCGGUUAGGAGACCCCUACCCACCCAGCGCUGUUUUGCUUGCUACUGCUUGCUGUAAUUAAUAAAAUUCUAAUUGACCUUAAAAAGGCUGAAUCAAAUUAUUCGCCUCAAUUUAUCACAGGGAGAAGGCUAAAGGGAGGGGAAAUAUAACAUUAACCAGUGGGGAAAAGGGAAAGGAGUGUUCUUGGUGGAAGAACCAAAGGGAAAACGUGGAACAGAGAAGAUUCUAGGCUAAGGGGCAGACUUGAACAAUAACUGACAAGACAGGGGGAGGGUACAAUUCUCUUACAAAAGGGGGUGGAGAACUCAUACAACUGCUGUUUCCCAUGGCAACCCUAGACUGCCUUCCCCAACCCCUCCUCCUACACCAGUGACAGCUUUUCACACUGAAGGGCAGUGCUAUUGUAUAACAAACACUUAACUCUUAGCCCAGCCGGGCUCGCUGGCUACUUUUGCAAGCUUUUUACCAACUAGCGAUGCUUGUAAGCGGUGCUUGUAACUCCUAGCUUGUACCACGCUCCCACUAGCUGCGCUAUCAGCUAGCGGCGUUCAAAGCAGCUCCUCAAACCGCGGCUUGUGCCCGCGCGCCCGCUGCGCUAUCAGCUGGGCUGCGCCUAAAGCACCUUUGCAAGCCCCGACUUAAGCCCCGCGCCGCGCUCCCCUCGCUCGCCAGGGACAGCCCGUGCCACGCAUGCGCACCACCCGCUCUAUCAGGUAGAGUGCGCACUACCCGCACUAUCAGGUAGUGUGGCUGAGAGCUGCCCUGCGCAUGCGCCCCACCCGCUCUAUCAGGUAGAGUGGCUGCUAGCCGCCCCGAGCAUGCGCACUACCCGCACUAGCAGGUAGUGUGGGCUGAGAGCUGCCCUGCGCAUGCGCUCUCUAGCACUGCCGCGCCGCGUCUCUCUAUCUUAGCAACGCCGCACCGCGCAUCACCGUUCCACUCACACAUACACACACACGCACAAGCACGCACGUCCGGACGUAACAGACACACUACACUGCAAUCGGGACACACACCACACACUGAAAUCGCGAUUUCGCCCUCCCCGAGCCGCGCUAUCAGCUGGGGAGGUCCUCCCGCCGCCGGCCUCUCCCCCGAUGGCGGUCUGCUUGCAAGCCCCUAGGCAAACCUGCGCGCAAAAACAUCUUUUUGCGACUUAUCAGUGCCAACCUUAAGAAAAUAAAUUAAUACAUACCGCUUUCA